rnacentral:rRNA from 1 species
UUUAGCGGAAGUUUUCGGAUGGAAGUUAGAUUGACUGAGUGGCGGACGGGUGAGUAACGCGUGGGUAACCUGCCUCACACUGGGGGACAACAGUUAGAAAUGACUGAUAAUACCGCAUAAGCGCACAGGACCGCAUGGUCCGGUGUGAAAAACUCCGGUGGUGUGAGAUGGACCCGCGUUUGAUUAGCUAGUUGGUGGGGUAACGGCCUACCAAGGCGACGAUCAAUAGCCGACCUGAGAGGGUGACCGGCCACAUUGGGACUGAGACACGGCCCAAACUCCUACGGGAGGCAGCAGUGGGGAAUAUUGCACAAUGGGGGAAACCCUGAUGCAGCGACGCCGCGUGAGUGAAGAAGUAUUUCGGUAUGUAAAGCUCUAUCAGCAGGGAAGAAAAUGACGGUACCUGACUAAGAAGCCCCGGCUAACUACGUGCCAGCAGCCGCGGUAAUACGUAGGGGGCAAGCGUUA